rnacentral:lncRNA from 1 species
GUCAGGAAUCUACAGGACUUGGCUCAUAUUUACAUUGGACACACACUUAGAAAUUUCAUAAAUGAUGAGAUGCAGGCCAAGGGUAUUCCUCAAAGGGCUCCACCCAAAAGGAAAAGAAAGAGAGUUAAACAGAGAAUUACCACACGUAUUUGUGGGUAAUCAGCUUAUUCCUCAGCCUCUAGACAGUGAGGAGGAUGAAAAAAUGGAAGAAGAUAGUAAAGAAGAGGAAGAAAAAGAUCACAGUGAAGCGAUGAAGCCAGAGGAGCCACCUCAAAAUUUACUGAGAGAAAAAAUCAUGAAACUGCCCCUCCCUGAAUCUUUAAAAGCUUACUUGACAUAUUUUAGAGACAAAUAA